GGUCAAUCUGGUCAGUUUACACAUUAAUGAGAGGAGGGAAGAAAAAGUUGCUCGACGAGAAAUAAGGCGACAGCUACCUACGGCUGAGGUUCUCUGGUGAUGAUCAUCUGAAGAUCAAGAAAAUCACUCUGGAUACUCCGGUAUGGAUCUCUUCAUCCUGGAACUCUUCCUCCCAGCUAGCGAUUGCCAACUACACCAACCACCAAAUGUCCUCCAAAUCCUAUGUCUGCAACC